UACGGGGGGGGCAAGCGUUGUUCGGAAUUACUGGGCGUAAAGGGCUCGUAGGCGGCCCACUAAGUCAGACGUGAAAUCCCUCGGCUUAACUGGGGAACUGCGUCUGAUACUGGAGGGCUUGAGUUCGGGAGAGGGAUGCGGAAUUCCAGGUGUAGCGGUGAAAUGCGUAGAUAUCUGGAGGAACACCGGUGGCGAAGGCGACAUCCUGGACCGACACUGACGCUGAGGAGCGAAAGCUAGGGGAGCAAACGGG
rnacentral:rRNA from 1 species